rnacentral:rRNA from 1 species
GACGUAGGGCGCGAGCGUUGUCCGGAUUUAUUGGGCGUAAAGAGCUCGUAGGCGGUGUGUCGCGUCGGCCGUGAAAACCUGCAGCUCAACUGUGGGCUUGCGGUCGAUACGGGCAUCACUGGAGUUCGGCAGGGGAGACUGGAAUUCCUGGUGUAGCGGUGAAAUGCGCAGAUAUCAGGAGGAACACCGGUGGCGAAGGCGGGUCUCUGGGCAUGUCCUGACGCUGAGGAGCGAAAGUGUGGGGAGCGAACAGG